rnacentral:rRNA from 1 species
GACGAACGCUGGCGGCGUGCUUAACACAUGCAAGUCGAACGGAAAGGCCCCUUUGGGGGUACUCGAGUGGCGAACGGGUGAGUAACACGUGAGUAACCUGCCCUUGACUUCGGGAUAACUUCAGGAAACUGGGGCAAUACCGGAUAGGAAUCCUUGCUGCAUGGUGGGGGUUGGAAAGCUUCGGCGGUUUUGGAUGGACUCGCGGCUUAUCAGCUUGUUGGUGGGGUAGUGGCUUACCAAGGCUUUGACGGGUAGCCGGCCUGAGAGGGCGACCGGCCACAUUGGGACUGAGAUACGGCCCAGACUCCUACGGGAGGCAGCAGUGGGGAAUAUUGCACAAUGGGCGGAAGCCUGAUGCAGCAACGCCGCGUGCGGGAUGACGGCCUUCGGGUUGUAAACCGCUUUCAGCAGGGGCGAAGCUUGUGGUGACGGUACCUGCAGAAGAAGCACCGGCUAACUACGUG